AGCGAACGCUGGCGGUAGGCCUAACACAUGCAAGUCGAACGGCAGCACAGUGAGAGCUUGCUCUUACGGGUGGCCAGUGGCGGACGGGUGAGGAAUAUAUCGGAAUCUACUCUUUCGUGUGGGUUCACGUAGGUGAAGUUACGCUAGUACCGCAUACGCCCUAGGGUUGAAAGCAGGGGAUCGUCGCAGCUUGCGCGGUUGGAUGAGCCGAUGCCGGAUUUGCUAGUUGGCGGGGUAAAGGCCCACGAGGGCGCCGAUUGGUGGCUGGUGUGAGUGGAUGGUCACCGGCACUGGAGCUGGAACACGGUCCUGGGGCCUGCGAGAGGCAGCAGAGUGGAAUAUUGGGCAACGGGCGCAAGCAUGAUCCAGCGAUACCGCGUGGGUGGAGACGGCGUUCGGGUUGUAAAGACCUUUUGUUGGGUAAGAAAAGCAGCAGGUUAAUACCCCGCUGUUCUGACGGUACCCGAAGAAUAAGCACCGGCUAACUUCGUG
rnacentral:rRNA from 1 species